rnacentral:misc_RNA from 1 species
AAGGAGUCUAACAUGCUUGCGAGUGUUUGGGUGUCAAACCCGGACGCGCAAUGAAAGUGAAUGGAGGUGGGAUCCGCAAGGUGCACCAUCGACCGAUCUGGAUUUUCUAAGAUGGAUUUGAGUAAGAGCAAUUAUGUUGGGACCCGAAAGAUGGUGAACUAUGCCUGAAUAGGGCGAAGCCAGAGGAAACUCUGGUGGAGGCUCGUAGCGGUUCUGACGUGCAAAUCGAUCGUCAAAUUUGGGUAUAGGGGCGAAAGACUAAUCGAACCAUCUAGUAGCUGGUUCCUGC